rnacentral:rRNA from 1 species
AUACCCUAUUAUUCUUAUUAUAAAUUAUGGAAAGCCGGAGUAAUCUUAGUUAUGGUCUUAAAACUUAAAGAAUUUGGCGGUAUUACAGUCUAACUAGAGGAAUCUGUUAUGUAAUCGAUAGUCCACGUUGAACCUUACUUAUAUUAAUUCUUGUAUAUCGCUGUUUAUGAAUAUAUUUUAAAAUAAUGUUCAGGAUAAAUUAGUAAUUAAGAUUUCAAGUCAAGGUGCAGUAAUAUGUAAGUUGAAUAAUGGAUUACAAUAACUUGAAUUUAAAUGGAUAACUUUUGUAAAGGAGUUUUGAAGGUGGAUUUAAUUGUAAUUUUUUAAAGAUUGUUUAAAUGAUUGUAGCUCUGUAAUAUGUACACAUCGCCC